GCCUUAUUUGGUACCCAGGAGGACAUGCCAGACUACCUUUUUUUUUUCUGUGGAUGUUUUGCAAAUGAAUUCCUGGGGCUGUAGUCUGAGCUGCAAAGGGUUACUAUAAAAUCAUAUAAUCAUUAACAUUGGAAAAGAUCUCUAAGAUCCCCAAGUUCAACCAUCAACUGUUAUAUUACACUUCAAAAUCCUGGAAAACAGUGAGAUCUCUACAUGCAAAUAUCAGGGGGACUUCAUGGGGAGGAAUUGUUCACAUCUAUGCUUUCUGCAGUAGCUGAAAAGAAACUGUCAUUUGCACAGCAUUUAUAUGUGAAAAGAAACACUUAGUAUGCCCAAGACUGAAUGGACAUCUAUUGAAUUUAAGCAGUUAAAGAAUUGUCUCCCUGGAGUGAUAAAAGGAAUAAAGUGAAUUGACAGAUACAUCAGUCCAUUUGUGAUGUCAUUGAAUAUUGCACUGUUGGAGUAGGCAGAGCUGUUGUUGUGGUCCUGCAUGAAGGAUUCUGUAGAAGAGCUCAAUAUCAUUGUGACUGCAGAGGACCUUUCCUUGUACCCUCUCUGAAUCUAACACACAUUUUACUGUGGAUCUGGAAAGAAAUAAUGAAGAUACUUUAUUACAUUCAGAACUUGCUUCAAAGUGAAUUUCAACAUCUACCAUAGUGGUUAAGCAGCUAUAACAUGUGGGAACAGCAUUCUGCUACUGAUUUUGCCCAUCAAAAAAGAACUUCCAGGCUUCUGCAAAAGUGAUUGUUCACUAUAUCACUGAGUCUGGUGUCUGCCAUACUUCAUGUCUCCAAGGAAUAACCAAAAUGCUGAUUUAAGUUUCAAGCUGAUGAGUAAAUGCUGCCCCUACAUGAGGCACAUUCAUGUGGCUGAUUGCCAGUGGAUUACAGAGGCUGGUGCUAAGAUGAUUUCACUAUUGAAGCAUAUUCUUGUACUGAAUAUGGCAGACUGCACAAGGUACUAGAUCACAUCAGAUUUCUGUAAUUGU
rnacentral:lncRNA from 1 species